GCUCUGCAGAUAUACUAUGGCCUCUUUUUCUUAUUUCCAUAUGAUGUGUUAAACCUAAUAGAUGCCGAUCGAUUUUGCUUUUAGCUAACAACAGAGGAAUUCUUUGUGAUAUACUUGGCAUGAGAUAUGCAAAACAAAUAAAAUAUUUGGCACAAGGUAUGCUAUAUCAUUUUUAUCUUAUUUUCUUAUGAUGGGUUAAAGUUGAUGGUUGCCGAUGGAUUUUGCUUGCUAUAUUCUUAUGCUUGCUUAUUUAUUUUCCCUGA
rnacentral:lncRNA from 1 species